rnacentral:rRNA from 1 species
UACGGAGGGAGCUAGCGUUGUUCGGAUAUACUGGGCGUAAAGCGCACGUAGGCGGCGUCGUAAGUCAGGGGUGAAAUCCUGGAGCUCAACUCCAGAACUGCCUUUGAUACUGAAGAUCUUGAGUUCGGGAGAGGUGAGUGGAACUGCGAGUGUAGAGGUGAAAUUCGUAGAUAUUGGGUGGAACACCGGUGGCGAAAGCGGCUCACUGGCUCGGUUCUGACGCUGAGGCGCGAAAGCGUGGGGAGCAAACAGG